rnacentral:rRNA from 1 species
GCUCAAUUUGAAUCUGGCGCCUUCGGUGUCCGAGUUGUAAUUUGAAGAUUGUAACCUUGGGGUUGGCUCUUGUCUAUGUUUCUUGGAACAGGACGUCACAGAGGGUGAGAAUCCCGUGCGAUGAGAUGCCCAAUUCUAUGUAAGGUGCUUUCGAAGAGUCGAGUUGUUUGGGAAUGCAGCUCUAAGUGGGUGGUAAAUUCCAUCUAAAGCUAAAUAUUGGCGAGAGACCGAUAGCGAACAAGUACAGUGAUGGAAAGAUGAAAAGAACUUUGAAAAGAGAGUGAAAAAGUACGUGAAAUUGUUGAAAGGGAAGGGUUUGAGAUCAGACUCGAUAUUUUGUGAGCCUUGCCUUCGUGGCGGGGUGACCCGCAGCUUAUCGGGCCAGCAUCGGUUUGGGCGGUAGGAUAAUGGCGUAGGAAUGUGACUUUACUUCGGUGAAGUGUUAUAGCCUGCGUUGAUGCUGCCUGCCUAGACCGAGGACUGCGAUUUUAUCAAGGAUGCUGGCAUAAUGAUCCCAAACCGCCCGUCUUGAACAACGGAAC